GCUGCAAAUUUUGAAGCAGAACAAAAUGAAACAUGAAUUAAGAUUCCGCAAACUAUUUUUGGGAGCUUCGAACUAAAUAGGAUGAGAAAUAAAGAAUUUACGUUUCUUGAAUCUGACUAUUUAAUGU
rnacentral:ribozyme from 18 species